AAUUCUUAAAAAAAUCUAAAAAAAAUAUUAAAAUAAUCACAAAUAGAUCUUAAAUAAAUUUCAACGAAGUUCUAAUUAAAUUCUAGUUGAAAUCCUAAUGGACUUCAAUCAAAACCUAGACCAAGUCCUAAAUCCUAAAACCUAAGUAGAUCCUAAAUCCUAAAUCCUAAGUAAAUCUUAAAUCUUAAAUCUUAAAUCAAUUCUAAAUUUUAAUCAAAUCUUAACCAAAUCUUAACCAAAUCUCAACCAAACCAUAAAUUCUAACCCAACUCUAAUCCUAAACCAAACUCUAACCAAAAUCUAAUUAACUCAACUUAAUCCUAUCAUAAUUUAGAACCUCAAUAUCUAUUGCUUAUAUAGUUGAUCUUACUUAAAAUUUUAUAUACUUCAUAACAACUAAUUUAAAAACAAACAUACAAAUUUUGAAGAUAAUUACACAUAUCAAAUAGAAGAAAAAUCCUAAAAUCUACUCGAAUAUUGGCUGACCUCCUACUCCAAUCUAAAUGUUAAACUUCUAGUACCAAUGUCUCCUUUUUAAACUAUUUA
rnacentral:lncRNA from 1 species